UAGACUGCCUUCCAUCCUGACAGCUGGUGAAUCUGAACUGCCUACUGGUGAAUAAAGAUGGUUCCAUCUCCUGCUUCAGGAUUGACUCAGUGUUGUAUUGCAAUCUUGCCAUAACACUUUCGAGGCUCCAGUGAGAUGCUGGUGCACUGGAGUCCUGAAUCCUCUGAAGCACAGAGAGGUGCCCUCCCUCUCUAGUUGUGAGAGCUCGCUGCUUUGGGAGAGUCUGGACCUCCUGUGGUGACCAAUUCGAGUCUGCCCAUAGAAGAAGCUCUGAUGCGACUCACAUCUGUAAAUCUAGAAGCUUUGAAGGAGGAUAUGGAACUGCGUGUGUUUGAAGAAGCACCCACCCCCUGAAGACUUUAAAACCUGUUCUUCCCGAACCAGACUUUUAUCAUGGACCCUUUGACUGACCUGAUUUCUAAAAGGGUACUCCAAACUGCUUUUCCCACCCCACAUCACCCGCUCUCAGUUUGAGGCAGCAACAACGGUCAUCACCUUUUCCCCUACAGCAGUAAGGAGUCACUGAAAUUAGAAGGGGAAAUGAAGCAAGAAUUACAGGUCUCUCCAACAGGUUUGACUUAAAGCUCAUAAAUUCCUUGGAGAGAACCAGCCCCAAGAGACUAUUGAUUUCCAACACCAUCCAAUCAAGAGACCAAGUCUAUGUCAAACGGUUCCAGAAAAAAUGACUGACACCCAGCUGGAGGGGACCUUACUCAUAGUGUGGAUUCAUCACAUUCAAGUCAAGACAACAAAAGUGACUCUUACAGAAAGAAUGGACAGCUCUCAGAGACCACAACCACCCUCUAAAGAUAAGACUGAAAAAAUUUAAUCAUGUUUUUUUCUCUUGUUUGGACAAUAUUAUAAGGCCCAAACUGCUAAAACAACCUGUUUCAUCAGUCAAGUAAAUAUAUAUGCAUGGUAAUUACAACACCUUACCUAUUUCAAAAGAUAAAUCAAGGGUUUGAUUGUUUCUAGAAAAAGGGGGAAUGUUAUGGGUCAGGCUAUGUGGGCAAUGACCAAACAGGCUCCAUUUUAUCCUAAAACUCCAUGUCAUGUAAGAACCCGUGAGAAAACUCCACAUCUGUACCUACCAACAGUUGCUUAGCAUAGCUUGUUUGGCAACACAAAUGGCAGUUCUUAUAUAAUGUAAAAUUGUUUUCUCUUUGGUUCCCAUUUUUCUUGGGCAAUGUACCCUAACUGCAUAGAAUGUUAAUAUUUGUCCCUCUAGAUCUCAUGAUUUUUUGUUUAUGUUUUGGAAUCAUAGCAACAGCCACUUACAAUUAAUGUACUGACAUGGUUUACUUGUGGUAUAAAAGAUGUGCUCUAACCUCUGGAGGGGGUCAGAGAAUACAGAAUUGCAGUCUGCCUUCCAUCCUGCCAGCUGGUGAAUCUGGACCACCUACUGGUGAAUAAAGAUGGUUCCAUUUUCU